rnacentral:lncRNA from 1 species
UGGAAGCGUCCAGCAGGAAGAAUUCUUUAUUAACACACACAGGAAAGCCGAGCUCUCCUUGUCGCUGGUCCUCAGCUGCAACAGAAAAGGAACCGAGAACCAGGCUGCUUGGAAACUCACCCAUCCGCAGGCGUUGUUAAGGGAACCGCUGCUUUCAUUUACACUCACGGGCUCCUCCUUUUCCUCCUCAUCUACGCCCCCACCCACCCCUUAAGGAAAAACAAAACAAAACUUAUUUCCAAGACCAACGCUAAGCAAUUCACAGGCAGCGUCAUUUCAUCAACGCGCUCCCGUUGCACUCCGGACAUUCGGCCUGGA